rnacentral:lncRNA from 1 species
UUUUUAAAUUCUUUAGAUUUCAUGUAAUUUUCUUUUUUCUCCUUAAGAUUCCUGUGACCCACUUCUUUCUGAGCUACAUCUAGUGAUUAUUGGAAGUCAUAGUUCUGGGAAGAAUGAUAUAUGCAAUGCCUUUUUCAAGAAAAAGAUGUUUACAUUUUGGACAUUGUCUGAAAAACAGGAGAAAACGCACUGUGUUCGGAACAAAAGUAACUAUAGCCCGUGUUCCUGGCUGGUCCGGAGAUUUGAAUUUGGGUCUAAAGCACCGCAAGUUACGACAGGAGAUUAGAGAUGCAGUGAGUUCAUUUAAAAAGGGGCCUCAUGCAAUCAUUUUGGCCAUGAAAGUGAACUCCACCUUUACAAAAACAACACAAGAGACCCUGGAAAAUGUCCUUACUGAAAGAUUCUGGGAUCACACCAUCAUCGUCUUCACAGGAGGACACGCACAGAUGAACAUUGAACAUGUCAUCAGUCAAAUGAACUUAAAAUCCCUAAUUGAAACUUCCAGUAUCAAGCACUGUGUACUGCAGAAACCUAACAGUUGUGAAGAGAGUAAAGAGCUGAUUGAAGACAUAGCACUGAUGAUCGCAGAAAGAGUUCCACUUCGUUUCUCGGUUGAUGAAAGUGAGCAACCUGAUGAAUCACAUGAAAAGAAGAACCUUUUGAAAAGAUUGGGGGAAAAAAUACAAAAACUGCACAGCUCUGAUAAAAAAACAAGAAUGGAGAGGACUGAGUCAAUGAUGGAGAUAAGACGAUUAGAAAACAUAAGGAGGAUACAUGAAGAUCUUGCCACAAAUCCUUCUCAAUCAGAUCAGUCUGCAUGUGAAACCAUACACACAGAAAGACCAACAAGCACAACUGAGACAACUGUAGAAAUCCAUCAUACAGAGGCAUCAAAGCUUCUGAGUACCAAGAUGACAUGUGGUAAUAAUCCAGUUUAUGACGCCUAUGAACUAAAUGGCUAUUUUAAGUGUGACUCCCGUUUACCAGUCAGUGAGUGUGAUUUUCGCAGCUGGUAUGACUGUCUAGUAAAAAUCUUGGAAGACUUAAGUGAGGAACAGUUCAAGAAAAUGAAAAACAAGAUGUGCAGUAUGCAAAAUGACAGAAUUCCUACAUCACAUGCAGAGGACAAAGACCGAAACACACUGGCACGUAACAUGAUCGAACACUGGGGUGAAGAAAAAUGUAUUAGCUACACCAGAGAUAUUCUAAAAGAUAUUCCACGGAAUGACAAGGAAAUUAUAAAAAUAAUUCUGCCAUUCUUACAGAGCAUUGGAGAAUCAUGGUAAUAAAAGAGAUUUACCAGACUAGAUUAAUGAAUACCAAUUAAUUCUAAAAAAAAAAAACAUCUACAGUGGUAUGAAAAAGUGUGAUGUCGCCGCUAGAACUAGAACUGUCCCUGUGGUCUUCCAUUUCCUCACUAUGUUCCUCACAGUGGAAACUAAAAGCUGGAAUGUCUGAUAUAGCUUUUUGUCUCCUUCCCCAAAACCAUGAUGUUGAACAAUCUUUGUUUUCAGGUCAUUUGGGAGUUGUUUUGAGGCUCCCAUAUCGCCACUCUUUAGAGAAGAUGCAACAAGGUGAAAAACUUACAAUUGGGCACAUUAACCCUUUCUCACAACUGGAUUCACCUGUUUAUGUAUGUCAAGGGUCAAUGAGCUUACCAAAUUCAUUUUGUGUUCCAAUAAUUAGUGCUAAAGGUAUUCAAAUCAAUAAAACAAGGGUGCCCAAAUUUAUGCA